rnacentral:rRNA from 1 species
GACGGAGGGGGCUAGCGUUGUUCGGAAUUACUGGGCGUAAAGGGUGCGUAGGCGGUCGGGUAAGUCUGAUGUGAAAUCUCACAGCUUAACUGUGAAACUGCAUUGGAUACUAUCCGGCUCGAGGAAUGGAGGGGAGACUGGAAUACUUGGUGUAGCAGUGAAAUGCGUAGAUAUCAAGUGGAACACCAGUGGCGAAGGCGAGUCUCUGGACAUUUCCUGACGCUGAGGCACGAAAGCCAGGGGAGCAAACGGG